GGAAAAAAUUAACUUACCCAAGUAGUACAGCAGACUGAAAGCAAGAUAAUUACAAAGAAAACCACUUAUUGACUGUCCAGAGAAAAAUGGUAUAUUGUACAUAGGGAACAACAGUGCAGUUAACACCUCACUUCUUAUCAGAAACUGUGGAGGUCAAAAGACAUUGGACCAACAUAUUCAAAUGAUGGAAAAAAGAAAGCUUUCAGCCAAGAAUUCUGCAUCUGGAAAAAUUAUCCUUCAAAAAUAAGGGGAAAAUAAAGACAUUUUUGGAUAAACAGAGAUGAGAGAAUUUUUCACUAGCAGACCUGCACUAUAAGACAUUUUGGCUGAAGGGAAAUGACACCUAAAUGGAUAUUUGGAUCUACACAAAGGAGUGAAGAGCACAUGAAAUUGUAAAUGUGUGUAAAACAAAAAUAAUGAUUUUUUGUUAUGUCUUAAUAUCUUUAAAAGACAAGUGACUGAAAAAGUAUAGUACUACUGUGCUGAUGUGUUUACAAUGUAUACAGAUAAUACACAGGACAACAAAAAUACAGGAUGAGGCACAGUUCAAGAACAAGCAGGGAAGGCAGAGCAAGAUGGCUGAAUAGAACCCUCCAGCAUUUGUCCCCCAAGCAAGAACACCAACUUGAACAACUAUCCACACAAGAAAGCACUUUCAGAAGAACUAAAACUCAG
rnacentral:lncRNA from 10 species